CAAGGUCAAUCCUUGUCGGACACAAAAAAAUAAAAAAAAAAUAUAUUUUGUUUCUUUAGAAUUUUAUUUUUAGGGAUAGUUAAACAUUUUGCUAACCACAUCGAAUUCGCAUUUUUAAUUAAAGGUACUACCUUAGGGCAGGCGUUGUAGGGUGUUAAUACCUUCCAUACACGUAAUCGACUCCCGGACCUAAAAUCUGAUUCCCGCAGACCAUGUCUAAUCAUUUUAUGAUUUUUCCGUAGUUUUCCAGAAUAAACUAUGGUGGCGACUCCAAACUCUUUUUUCAAAUUCGUUUCUUUUUUAGAUCGUCGUCCCGUCACGAAAUCGUUUGCGACAGAUGGCGACUUCACUAGGGAUAAUUUUGAGGGUCAAGCCAUUUAAUUAGAUGCGCGAAUUCGAUAUGGUUUUGAUUUAUGUUUUUUCUUUCCUUUUUACUUUUUCUUAUUUUUUAUUUUUAUCUAUGUUUCAUAUUUCAAACAAUUGCUUGCGAAUUGUUUUGAUAUUGAACCCUAGGGUAGAGAACAUGUUUAUAUCUGCCUGGGAUUUUUUUGGUUGUUUUGCAGGUGAGGGUUUGGGUAUGCAUUGCAUUCUCCCUUCACCACACACUUUAUGCAUAUCAUGAGUGGGGCCCUAUACCCGGGUCUGAGUGCAACUUAGAAAUAGAGGGGUUGUGUAGCAGUGCCAUUUGGGACAUACUUCUUGUUUGGCUAUCGUGAGAGCCCCAGCUAGAGUCUAUUCUCUUCACUUGUGUCUCAGCAUCUAGUUGAUUACUCGACUGUUGUGGAGAUGCUAUGAAGGGGGCCAUAGCUCUAGUGACCAUUGACCUCUAGGUUCAGGGAACCAUCCUUGUGAGAUUGCAUAUAUUUGACUUUGAAUCUGAAAUGUUGAACCUUCUUUAGGGCACAAAGGGAGAUGUGUGCAGUCCUAUAACCGUCAUUUUCGCUUAAUAAAAUCACGCAUCUUUCAUAUAUCUUG
rnacentral:lncRNA from 1 species